AGCUCCAAUAGCGUAUAUUAAAGUUGCUGCAGUUAAAAAGCUCGUAGUUGCAUUUCCGAGGCAAGGGAUUAGUCCGACCUUUGGUGGGUAUUUAAUCCUCUUGCCUCGUCCUUGAGUGGUGCUUCUUGGUAUUAAGUUAUCGAGGAGAUAGCCGCUCAUCGUUUACUGUGAGAAAAUUAGAGUGUUCAAAGCAGGCUUAUGCCGUUGAAUAUAUUAGCAUGGAAUAAUAAGAUAGGACCUCGGUUCUAUUUUGGUGGUUUGAGAACCAAGGUAAUGAUGAAUAGGGACAGUUGGGGGUAUUCGUAUUCAGUUGUCAGAGGUGAAAUUCUUAGAUUUACGGAAGACGAACUACUGCGAAAGCAUUUACCAAGGAUGUUUUCA
rnacentral:rRNA from 1 species